GGAGGGAUGGCAGAGCGGUUGAAUGCACCGGUCUUGAAAACCGGCGUAGGUUAAUAGCCUACCCAGGGUUCGAAUCCCUGUCCCGCCGCCA
rnacentral:tRNA from 1 species